UCCCUAGUGGUGCAGCUGCACACACACAUUGUAAACGUGACAGUUUUGGGUUCGAUUCCCAUUUGGGGAA
rnacentral:tRNA from 1 species